AACGAACGCUGGCGGCAGGCCUAACACAUGCAAGUCGAGCGCCCAGCAAUGGGAGCGGCGCACGGGUGAGUAACACGUGGGAAUAUGCCUCGGGAUCGGGAAUAACGGCGGGAAACUGCCGCUAAUGCCCGGUACGCCUUGAGAGGGAAAGGAGCAAUCCGUCCUGAGAGUAGCCCGCGUUGGAUUAGCUAGUUGGUGGGGUAACGGCCCACCAAGGCUACGAUCCAUAGCUGGUCUGAGAGGAUGAUCA
rnacentral:rRNA from 1 species